rnacentral:rRNA from 1 species
UCUUCCCUCUUUUUUCGUGCCUAAUACAUGCAAGUCGAGCGAACAGACGAGGAGCUUGCUCCUCUGACGUUAGCGGCGGACGGGUGAGUAACACGUGGAUAACCUACCUAUAAGACUGGGAUAACUUCGGGAAACCGGAGCUAAUACCGGAUAAUAUAUUGAACCGCAUGGUUCAAUAGUGAAAGACGGUUUUGCUGUCACUUAUAGAUGGAUCCGCGCCGCAUUAGCUAGUUGGUAAGGUAACGGCUUACCAAGGCAACGAUGCGUAGCCGACCUGAGAGGGUGAUCGGCCACACUGGAACUGAGACACGGUCCAGACUCCUACGGGAGGCAGCAGUAGGGAAUCUUCCGCAAUGGGCGAAAGCUUGACGGAGCAACGCCGCGUGAGUGAUGAAGGUCUUCGGAUCGUAAAACUCUGUUAUUAGGGAAGAACAAAUGUGUAAGUAACUAUGCACGUCUUGACGGUACCUAAUCAGAAAGCCACGGCUAACUACGUG